UACGGGGGGGGCAAGCGUUGUUCGGAAUUACUGGGCGUAAAGGGCUCGUAGGCGGCCAACUAAGUCAGACGUGAAAUCCCCAGGCUCAACCUGGGAACUGCGUCCGAUACUGGCAGGCUUGAAUUCGGGAGAGGGAUGUGGAAUUCCAGGUGUAGCGGUGAAAUGCGUAGAUAUCUGGAGGAACACCGGUGGCGAAGGCGGCAUCCUGGACCGAUAUUGACGCUGAUGCGCGAAAGCCAGGGGAGCAAACGGG
rnacentral:rRNA from 1 species